rnacentral:rRNA from 1 species
AGAGUUUGAUCAUGGCUCAGGAUGAACGCUAGCGGCAGGCCUAAUACAUGCAAGUCGAACGCUCAGUAGCAAUACUGGGAGUGGCGCACGGGUGCGUAACGCGUACACAAUCUACCUCUAAGCGGGGGACACCUCCUGGAAACGGGGAUUAAUACCGCAUAAUAUGCCGAGGUCGCAUGACUUUGGUAUUAAAGCAGCAAUGCACUUAGAGAUGAGUGUGCGUCCCAUUAGGUAGUUGGUGAGGUAACGGCUCACCAAGCCUAUGAUGGGUAGCCGGUCUGAGAGGAUGGUCGGCCACACGGGCACUGAGACACGGGCCCGACUCCUACGGGAGGCAGCAGUAAGGAAUAUUGGUCAAUGGUGGAAACACUGAACCAGCCAUGCCGCGUGGAGGAAUAAGGUCCUACGGAUUGUAAACUCCUUUUGACGAGGAAGAAAGUGUUAGAUUUAUCUAAUUUUGACGGUACUCGUAGAAUAAGCACCGGUUAACUCCGUG